UACGAAGGGGGCGAGCGUUGUUCGGAAUUACUGGGGCGUAAAGGGCGCGCAGGCGGCCCUUGAAGUCAGGACGUGAAAGCCCCGGGCUCGAACCUGGGAGGUGCGCUUGAUACUCGAGGGCUUGAGGUGCGGGAGAGGAGAGUGGAAUUCCCAGUGUAGAGGUGAAAUUCGUAGAUAUUGGGAAGAACACCGGUGGCGAAGGCGGCUCUCUGGACCGUAACUGACGCUGAGGCGCGAAAGCGUGGGGGAGCAAACAGGG
rnacentral:rRNA from 1 species